rnacentral:rRNA from 1 species
UACGUAGGGUGCGAGCGUUGUCCGGAAUUACUGGGCGUAAAGAGCUCGUAGGUGGUUUGUCGCGUUGUCCGUGAAAACUCACAGCUCAACUGUGGGCGUGCGGGCGAUACGGGCAGACUGGAGUACUGCAGGGGAGACUGGAAUUCCUGGUGUAGCGGUGGAAUGCGCAGAUAUCAGGAGGAACACCGGUGGCGAAGGCGGGUCUCUGGGCAGUAACUGACACUGAGGAGCGAAAGCGUGGGGAGCGAACAGG